ACGUAGGUGGCAAGCGUUGUCCGGAUUUAUUGGGUUUAAAGGGUGCGUAGGCGGCCCUAUAAGUCAGUGGUGAAAUACUCUAGCUUAACUAGAGGGGUGCCAUUGAUACUGUAGGGCUUGAGUAAAGUUGAGGUUGGCGGAAUUGACGGUGUAGCGGUGAAAUGCUUAGAUAUCGUCAAGAACACCUAUUGCGAAGGCAGCUAACUAAGCUUUAACUGACGCUGAGGCACGAAAGUGUGGGGAUCAAACAGGA
rnacentral:rRNA from 1 species